rnacentral:rRNA from 1 species
UACGGAAGGCAGCAGUGGGGAAUCUUGCGCAAUGGGCGAAAGCCUGACGCAGCCAUGCCGCGUGAAUGAUGAAGGUCUUAGGAUUGUAAAAUUCUUUCACCGGGGACGAUAAUGACGGUACCCGGAGAAGAAGCCCCGGCUAACUUCGUGCCAGCAGCCGCGGUAAUACGAAGGGGCUAGCGUUGCUCGGAAUUACUGGGCGUAAAGGGCACGCAGGCGGUUAAUUAAGUUGGAUGUGAAAUCCCCGGGCUUAACCUGGGAAUGGCAUUCAAGACUGGUUAGCUAGAGUCUUGUAGAGGGGGUUAGAAUUCCAUGUGUAGCGGUGAAAUGCGUAGAGAUGUGGAGGAAUACCGGUGGCGAAGGCGGCCCCUGGACAAAGACUGACGCUCAUGUGCGAAAGCGUGGGGAGCAAACAGGGAUUAGAUACC